rnacentral:rRNA from 1 species
UACGUAGGGUGCGAGCGUUGCCCGGAUUUAUUGGGCGUAAAGGGCGCGCAGGCGGCCACGCGCGUCCGUUGUGAAAUCGCUCGGCUCAACUGGGCGAGGUCAGCGGAUACGGCGUGGCUGGAGCAAGCUAGGGGGCAAUGGAAUUCCCGGUGUAGUGGUGGAAUGCGUAGAUAUCGGGAGGAACACCAGUGGCGAAGGCGGUUGCCUGGAGCUUUGCUGACGCUGAGGCGCGAAAGCGUGGGGAGCGAGCCGG